GUUGGAAGAGACCUUAAAGAUUAUCUAGUUCCACCCCCCCUGCCAUGCACAGGGACACCUUCCACUAGACCAGAUUGCUCAGAGCUCCAUCCAAGCAGGCCUUGAACACUUCCAGGGUUGGGGCAUCCACAGCUUCUCUGGACAACGUGUUCCAGUGCUUCACCACCAUCACAGGUUCCUUUCAGGUACUGGAAGGCUGCAGUCAGGUCACCCCAAAGCUUUCUCUUCUUCAGGCUGAAUAAUCCCAAUUCUCAGCCUUUCCUCAUAGGAGAGGUGACCCAUCUCCCUAAUCAGCUUGGUGACUCUCCUCUGGAAGAUCAAGCAGCAGAGUAUCCUCCCAAAGAAAGAUGACUGAAGGCACUUUCCAAGUUACAGGACCCCAGAACUGAACCAGGGAAGAUGACUUAGUGACACCACUUUCAAGCUGUGUUUUUAAAGAGCUGUCCUUUAAAUUAGGACUUGAAAAUAUUUUCUUUAAAUGCAAGAUGGAAGAACAAGCAGGAAGGGCUGCAUAACCAUCAGGACAAAGAGGAAUUUCCCUGGUGCUCUCAGACAAACUGCCAGCCACAAGACAGGCAGAACAAGAAGAGACCUUCUGUCCUUCAUUGAGUUGAUGACUGCCUGGGAAUAUCAUUUGAGUCUCCUUCCUGCCCUAUUAAGCUCUCCUACUUCUUAUCUCCAAACCUUAGCCUUGACUCCAAGAACAUAAUGAUUUUAACAGUGUUUCUAAAUGGAUGUCCUACAACCACUCCAUACAAACCUUUAGCCACAGAGAAACUCGUGUUAAAGCAGCAAACAGAGCUUAACCCACAUGAAACCCUGGUUUAGACAACCUGAAGAAACCUUGAUGUCUGCUACACUGAGAGUCGAUCAGUUUGGCACUCAGCUCAGACCGGAUGGAACUUCCCACGGCGCCAAGGUGAUUAAAUCAACACCUAAUGUGCUAACCAAUUCAGGUGUUGUUGGGGAGGAAAACAACCAAGAACUCAAACUCAUUUCCAUGAGCAACAAGAAGAGGAAGACACAGUUAGGACAACUUUCACAAGUGAAGUAUUGCUCACCCUGUCUAGGCAAGGCAUGUCCUUUAUAAGAUCCUACCAAAUCCUGGCAGCAAUGCAGGACAAUGUUGAAGCCAUAACCAAAAUGAAAACAGCUUUUCAUUUUUAAGAGCAGAAGGGUGUGGAGAGAACAGCACAUGGCUGUUAUACAUGAAAAAAGGGUUGUAUUAAAAAAUAUGUGAUUUAAUGCACAAAACACACUAAAAAUCCUGGACAGCAAGAUGUAACUUCUUUCUUGAUAGGCCAAUGUCAUAACGCUUUAUUAUUCUGGGGGUUGGAAAUAGAUUAUAUUUAAGGUCCUUUCCAACCGUAACUAUUCAAUAAUUCUACUUUUAUGUUUGAGGCUAACACACUUAAAAUGACAAAUAGGGCCUUUAAGGUUUGCUUGUGCAUACAAAAACAUUACAGAACACAAGAUUUUCCUCAUCCCCUGUCUUAGGAUGCAUAAAAUUGCUAACAAAUUUGAUCCAGAAGGGAAAAAACAUGCUGUUGAAAAGGCAAUGCCAUUUGCAUUAAAAGAAAAAACUAUCCAUGAAGCUGAAGAAUUUAGUACACUGAAAGACUGAACACCAGUUCCAUGACUUCUUACUGGACUGUAAAAUAUUAGCCACCUUACCAAGUCGAACAAGAGAAUAGAAGAUGAAGGCCAGAGCUAGAGAUAACUUCAGAGUACAGUUUAAAUGAUUGUAACACUAUGGAAAGCAAUGGUAGUUAGGAUGGAAUCUUCUGUGCUUUAGCAAUGCCCUUAAGUCAUGCAUUUGUUUCUUUUGUUGUCGAUAAAACAACAUCUUUUCUAAUGCUAAGUCAGUAGAUCGAUCUGUGGGGCAGGUGCAGCCUUUCAGAGUCCAUGCAUAUCAGUAGAGUAACUUGAAAAAAUUAAGUGCCAUUUGAAAAACAUUCAGAAAACACUCUCUUAAGGAGGCAACACUGCCAAGCAGCUGAGUGGCACCAUGUCUGUGCAAGAAUCAAAACCUAGAUAGGAGCCCAAGAAGACACUGCCUCUUCAAACCCAUCCUCUGACGAACACACAGUUUUCAGGUCUGUUGGAAACCGAACACACAGCUGUAGUUUUUCUAACAUUGGAUUCUUGAGCACCUUGGUGCAGAAUCAGUAUCUGAUUGCAGGCAACACGGUGUCUUUGAAGUUAACCAUCCCUCUGCUGAUAGUGCAGCUCCACUGAAAAACAUCCCACACUAAAGGGAAAAGGGCGGGGAGAACAGGGGAAAAAAACCCCACAGCUCUCAGACACACUAUGCUAUUGUGGAUAUUUUGCACCCUGAUGCACGUAAUCUAAUAGUUCACUUGCAUAAUAAAAUAGUGAAACCAUGAAGUUGUGCAAGUCAUUUAAAUAAGACCAUGCAAUUUAAUUUCAGUAAAUACAUAUGAUAAAGGGCACUAAAUACCAACUUUUACCCAUUAACACAGGACAAACCGGUACUUAACUGUGUCACUUAUCAUUAUCAUUAGGCAGGUCUAAAUGCCUUAGACAAUGCUCAGGAAUGUUUUCUUCCUCUUUACAAGGAGCAAGAAAGACCAGAGUCUCCUAAACAGCAGGUUUCCAAGCACGGUAUCUUUCCAAGUGGUGGCAAUUGGUAGUGGAGAAACCAUGAUAGACAUGACUUGUUUCUUCAGUCACUGGAUAUCUGGAAAUCCCAGGAGUCAUUGGUACA